UACAGAGGGGGCAAGCGUUGUUCGGAAUUACUGGGCGUAAAGGGCGCGUAGGCGGCCUUCUAAGUCGAACGUGAAAUCCCCGGGCUCAACCCGGGAACUGCGUCCGAUACUGGAAGGCUUGAAUCCGGGAGAGGGAUGUGGAAUUCCAGGUGUAGCGGUGAAAUGCGUAGAUAUCUGGAGGAACACCGGUGGCGAAGGCGACAUCCUGGACCAACACUGACGCUGAGUGAGCGAAAGCCAGGGGAGCAAACGGG
rnacentral:rRNA from 1 species